rnacentral:rRNA from 1 species
UACGUAGGGUGCGAGCGUUGUCCGGAAUUAUUGGGCGUAAAGGGCGCGUAGGCGGUGCGGUAAGUCACCUGUGAAAUCUCCUGGCUCAACUGGGAGCUUGCAGGCGAAACUGCCGUGCUGGAGUGUGGGAGAGGUGCGUGGAAUUCCUGGUGUAGCGGUGAAAUGCGUAGAUAUCAGGAGGAACACCGGUGGCGAAGGCGGGUCUCUGGGCCGAUACUGACGCUGAGGAGCGAAAGCGUGGGGAGCGAACAGG